rnacentral:rRNA from 1 species
AUUGAACGCUGGCGGCAUGCUUUACACAUGCAAGUCGAACAGUAACAGGCCGCAAGGUGCUGACGAGUGGCGAACGGGUGAGUAAUGCAUCGGAACGUGCCCAGCCGUGGGGGAUAACGCAGCGAAAGCUGCGCUAGUACCGCAUACGAUCUAUGGAUGAAAGCGGGGGACCGUAAGGCCUCGCGCGAUUGGAGCGGCCGAUGUCAGAUUAGGUAGUUGGUGGGGGCAAGGCUCACCAAGUCAACGAUCUGCAGCUGGUCUGAGAGGACGACCAGCCACACUAGGACUGAGACACGGCCCAGACUCCUACGGGAGGCAACAGUGGGGAAUUUUGGACAAUGGGCGCAAGCCUGGUCCAGCAAUGCCGCGUGCAGGAAGAAGGACUUCGGGUUGUAAACUGCUUUUGUACGGAACGAAAAGGCUCUGGUUAAUACCUGGGGCUCAUGACGGUACCGUAAGAAUAAGCACCGGCUAACUACGUGCCAGCCGCCGCCGUAAUAC